rnacentral:rRNA from 1 species
UACGUAGGGUGCAAGCGUUGUCCGGAAUUAUUGGGCGUAAAGAGCUCGUAGGCGGUCUGUCGCGUCGGCUGUGAAAACUCGGGGCUCAACCCCGAGCCUGCAGUCGAUACGGGCAGACUAAAGUGCUGUAGGGGAGACUGGAAUUCCUGGUGUAGCGGUGAAAUGCGCAGAUAUCAGGAGGAACACCGGUGGCGAAGGCGGGUCUCUGGGCCGAUACUGACGCUGAGGAGCGAAAGCGUGGGGAGCGAACAGG